GUGAGGAGCAGAAAGCGUUGUUAGUGUUAGUUCUGGCCCGUUUGGACCCAAACUAAAGUGAGUUUAUUCGGUUCUGUGUAACCGAACCCGUUCUGUUCUGUGCUGUAUUGUGUGUAUGUGUGUAGUUAACGGUGUUAACACCUGUGUUUCAGGUGUAUCAGUAUGAAGCAGGCGGUGACGGCGCACUGAUUCACUCUCGGAGCUCGGUUCACUAAUGACCGAAUCACCGAGGAACCGACUAAAGAUAACUCACACCCGCACGGAGAAGAAGAACAAGAGGAGGAGAAGGUGAGCUGGAGUGGGGCAAAGAGAACUGCAUUCAGAUCAAACGGAUACGAGAGGUGGCCGAGUUGUUUGAGGAUCUGAAGAAUCGAGUGUCACAAUUCAACAUGCACAUCAGCGAAACUUCCUCUCCCUCUGACUACACCAGCACGCACACAUAGAAAUUCAUAGUGCAGGUAACACACACACACACACACACACACGAGUAGAACAGGUGUAGUUUAACAGCAUAUGUGUAUAAAGAGGCUUUUUUCUUCAGGUCAAAAUAUAUA